rnacentral:rRNA from 1 species
GAGUAGGGCGGGACACGUGGUAUCCUGUCUGAAUAUGGGGGGACCAUCCUCCAAGGCUAAAUACUCCUGACUGACCGAUAGUGAACCAGUACCGUGAGGGAAAGGCGAAAAGAACCCCGGCGAGGGGAGUGAAAAAGAACCUGAAACCGUGUACGUACAAGCAGUGGGAGCACGCUUAGGCGUGUGACUGCGUACCUUUUGUAUAAUGGGUCAGCGACUUAUAUUCUGUAGCAAGGUUAACCGAAUAGGGGAGCCGAAGGGAAACCGAGUCUUAACUGGGCGUUAAGUUGCAGGGUAUAGACCCGAAACCCGGUGAUCUAGCCAUGGGCAGGUUGAAGGUUGGGUAACACUAACUGGAGGACCGAACCGACUAAUGUUGAAAAAUUAGCGGAUGACUUGUGGCUGGGGGUGAAAGGCCAAUCAAACCGGGAGAUAGCUGGUUCUCCCCGAAAGCUAUUUAGGUAGCGCCUCGUGAAUUCAUCUCCGGGGGUAGAGCACUGUUUCGGCAAGGGGGUCAUCCCGACUUACCAACCCGAUGCAAACUGCGAAUACCGGAGAAUGUUAUCACGGGAGACACACGGCGGGUGCUAACGUCCGUCGUGAAGAGGGAAACAACCCAGACCGCCAGCUAAGGUCCCAAAGUCAUGGUUAAGUGGGAAACGAUGUGGGAAGGCCCAGACAGCCAGGAUGUUGGCUUAGAAGCAGCCAUCAUUUAAAGAAAGCGUAAUAGCUCACUGGUCGAGUCGGCCUGCGCGGAAGAUGUAACGGGGCUAAACCAUGCACCGAAGCUGCGGCAGCGACGCUUAUGCGUUGUUGGGUAGGGGAGCGUUCUGUAAGCCUGUGAAGGUGUACUGUGAGGUAUGCUGGAG